UCCCGGUUAGCUCAGUUGGUAGAGCGCUUCACUGGAAAUAGGGAGGUCCCUGGUUCGAGACCAGGAGCAGGCG
rnacentral:tRNA from 1 species